UACGGAGGAUCCAAGCGUUAUCCGGAAUCAUUGGGUUUAAAGGGUCCGUAGGCGGUUUGGUAAGUCAGUGGUGAAAGCCCAUCGCUCAACGGUGGAAACGGCCAUUGAUACUGCCAGACUUGAAUUAUUAGGAAGUAACUAGAAUAUGUAGUGUAGCGGUGAAAUGCUUAGAGAUUACAAUGGAAUACCAAUUGCGAAGGCAGGUUACUACUAAUGGAUUGACGCUGAUGGACGAAAGCGUGGGUAAGCGAACAGG
rnacentral:rRNA from 1 species